GAACUCACUAAACUUGGAACUAUGUUGGUGGCCAGAAAACCCAUAUGACUUUCUUGUCUCCAUCCUCCAGGGUGCUGGGGUGCAGGAAAGGAGAGCAUGAACACACUUCUCCUCUAAGUCUCCAAUUCUUCCAAUGAAUCUGAUGCGUGGGAUGAAGAGAGGAUAAUAAAGUCAAUCAGCAGAGAAGGGCUGGGUCCACUGUCCCUUUGGCAGCACCAUUUUCUACAUCCUGAAGAUGUGACCUCUCAGCUUCUUACUCUAGUCACCUGCUACAAUGACCCCUCUGUCAUUCUGAACUCUCCCUCUGGAAAUGUAAGACCAACAAACCUG